GACGAACCGUGCGAACGUUAUUCGGAAUCACUGGGCUUAAAGCGCGUGUAGGCGGGCCAGCACGUCGGGCGCUGAAAUCCCCCGGCUCAACCGGGGAACGGGCACCGAUACGACUGGCCUGGAGGGGAGUAGGGGGACCUGGAACUUCCGGUGGAGCGGUGAAAUGCGUUGAGAUCGGAAGGAACGCCCGUGGCGAAAGCGAGGUCCUGGGCUCUUACUGACACUGAGGAGCGAAAGCCAGGGGAGCAAACGGG
rnacentral:rRNA from 1 species